rnacentral:rRNA from 1 species
UACGAAGGGUGCAAGCGUUACUCGGAAUUACUGGGCGUAAAGCGCACGUAGGUGGUUUGGUAAGCUAGCCGUGAAAUCCCCGGGCUCAACCUGGGAAUUGCGGUUAGAACUGCCAAGCUAGAGUAGGGUAGAGGGGUGUGGAAUUCCAGGUGUAGCGGUGAAAUGCGUAGAUAUCUGGAGGAACAUCAGUGGCGAAGGCGACACCCUGGACUCAUACUGACACUGAGGUGCGAAAGCGUGGGGAGCAAACAGG